UACGGGAGGCAGCAGUGGGGAAUAUUGCACAAUGGGGGAAACCCUGAUGCAGCGACGCCGCGUGAAGGAUGAAGUAUUUCGGUAUGUAAACUUCUAUCAGCAGGGAAGAAAAUGACGGUACCUGACUAAGAAGCCCCGGCUAACUACGUGCCAGCAGCCGCGGUAAUACGUAGGGGGCAAGCGUUAUCCGGAUUUACUGGGUGUAAAGGGAGCGUAGACGGCAGUGCAAGUCUGAAGUGAAAGCCCGGGGCUCAACCCCGGGACUGCUUUGGAAACUGUGCAGCUAGAGUGUCGGAGAGGCAAGCGGAAUUCCUAGUGUAGCGGUGAAAUGCGUAGAUAUUAGGAGGAACACCAGUGGCGAAGGCGGCUUGCUGGACGAUGACUGACGUUGAGGCUCGAAAGCGUGGGGAGCAAACAGGAUUAGAUACCCUGGUAGUCCACGCCGUAAACGAUGACUACUAGGUGUCGGGGAGCAAAGCUCUUCGGUGCCGCAGCCAACGCAAUAAGUAGUCCACCUGGGGAGUACGUUCGCAAGAAUGAAACUCAAAGGAAAUUGACGGA
rnacentral:rRNA from 1 species